rnacentral:rRNA from 1 species
UAGGGAAUCUUCCACAAUGGGCGAAAGCCUGAUUGGAGCAACGCCGCGUGUGUGAUGAAGGGUUUCGGCUCGUAAAACACUGUUGUAAGAGAAGAAUGACAUUGAGAGUAACUGUUCAAUGUGUGACGGUAUCUUACCAGAAAGGAACGGCUAAAUACGUGCCAG